GGCGCGAGCGUGCGGGGAGCGGCGGGCUGAGCCGAGCCGGACGCGGGGCGAGGCUGCUGGCGGCGAUCAGGGCGCGCGGGUGUCGGGGGGCCAGGUCCAGGGCCGGACGCAGCCAGCCAUUCAGGAAGGCAGCGCUGGAGAGCGGGAGGCGGCCGGCGAGGAAGAUCACACACUUUGCUCUUUUUGUUGUGCCGGUGGCGCCGGGCUCUCGCUGCCUUCUUCUUUCAGGAGGUGACGGAAGGGGGAGAAAAAUGCGGGAUAAUUCACUCCGGCGACGAAUUCACAGCGAGAUAGGAAAAAAAAAAUUAAAAAUCAGAAGAAAAUAAUUGCAAAAAAAAAAAUGAAAAAGAAAAAAGAAAAAGGAAAAAGCGAGAGAGACAUCCAAAGUUUAAUAACGACCAUGCACACGAGUGAAAUUUGCAACUACUGCCACGAUUUCAGUCUGAAUCAGCGGUUCCUUUUCAUCCCAAAGAUGAUUUUAAAAUAAACUUUCCAAUC